UUAGGGGGGGGCCAUGGGGGCCAUGGCCCCCCCCAGAAGCUUGAUUGGCGCCCCUAAGAGGCCAACCUUGCAAUUCAGUGGGUCAGAUUCCCCAUUUUCUCCACAAUGUCCCUGGAAAUUACAAUUGAAAUUGAAAUGCAUAAUAUUUCUUGGUUGCCAAGGAAUAGGAUGCAUUCUGCAUUCUAAUACUAAUUUGAUUUAGCGACCAAAUUAAGCGAUAAUCGUGAGAGAUGUCAAAUCUUUAAUAAUAAUAAAUCAGCUGAGCAGCAAGCUGCCAGCCUGCCAGUCAUUCGUCGGCGUUCAGCUUCCAUGUUGGUUGUCUAGCGGGCAGCCACUUAGCCGCCAAUGACCACUAACUUCUACAGUUCUCCCCUCUCGGCAAGUUUCUACUCAUUUUUAAGGAUGCAACACACGGGCACAUAAGGGACACGCCCCAGCGUUGAUCCUCGUCCCCUCAACACCUGCCCCGGACUGAGUGAAGGCGUGGGAUAUAGCAGACACAGUGACAUUAAAGCAAUCAUGUUCGAAAAUGACUCGGAGCGAAACCAAGAACUGCUGUGCAGGAAAUACCUGAAAGGCGCGUCCACCAAUACAAGGUUAGCUUGCACUACCUGCCUCCUUCCACACAAUACACUCACUAUACCUGUCCGAAAGAUUCUUUACAAUGUGACAUAACAAACUAACAUAAGAAAAUAUUAAGACAAAAGGUAACUAUUUGCUGCGAACAACAAGAGUUCCUGGACAGAGGAACAAUUUGCUCGAAGUCGUCUCACGUUUUAGGAAAUGCUCAGCAUGAUUAAAUUUCAAGGGCAGCCGGAUGCCAUUAUAUUUUUGUCCUUCGCUGUGUGUUCACAGGGCAGUGCUCCACCAAGUUAGGUAUUUCCUUGCCAGCCUCCCACUGAGUAUUUAGUGGCAAUUUCAUGGUUUUUUUCGUAUACUGCUGACUAGUGAUAUGUCAACUUCAUUAACCAUGCACAGAGAGAGAGAGAGAGAGAGAGAGAGAGAGAGAGAGAGAGAGA